GAGGAGUGUUAUGUGAUCCUAAUGGAGCCAAUGGUGGAGAAGGAAGCAUGUUAUUUGAUCUUAAUGGAGGUGGAGGUGGAGGUGGAGGUGGAGGUGGAGGUGGUGGUGGAGGAGAAGAUGACAUGUUAUUUGACCUUAAUGACGGUGGUGGUGGAGGACGAGGCAUGCUAUUUGAUCUCAAUGGAGGUGGAAGUGUUGGAGGAGGAGGCAUGCUAUUUGUUCUUAAUGGAGGUGGAGGUGGAGGUGGAGGUGGAGGUGGAAGUGGAGGCGGAGGAGGAGGCAUGCUUUUUGUUCUUAAUGGAGGUGGUAAUGGUGGUGGAGGUGGAGGUGGUGCUCCUCGUCCGUUUUUAAUAAGUGGAGGUAAAGGAAGCACUUGAUCUACAUAGGGAGGUGGUAAUGGAGGAGGAGGUGGUGGUGGGACUUGUUUUCCAAGGGAAGUUGGUGGAGUAUGUGAUGCAAAUGCAUUGAUCUUUGAUGUCAUUAUGGGAGGUGAUGGAUGAGGAGUAGGUGGUUCUGCAAAGCCAAUUUUAAGAGAGGUUGAAUUUGAACUUGCACUUUGAUUAAGUGGAG
rnacentral:lncRNA from 1 species